rnacentral:rRNA from 1 species
CCUACGGGAGGCAGCAGUGAGGAAUCUUGGUCAAUGGACGCAAGUCUGAACCAGCCAUGCCGCGUGCAGGAAGACGGCUCUAUGAGUUGUAAACUGCUUUUGUACGAGGGUAAACGCAGAUACGCAUAUCUGUCUGAAUGUAUGGUAUGUAUAAGGGUCGGCUAACUCCGUGCCAGCAGCCGCGGGAAUACGGAGGAUUCAAGCGUUAUCCGGAUGUAUUGGGUUUAAAGGGUGCGUAGGCGGUCGGAUAAGUUAGAUGGGAAAUCCCGAGGCUCAACUUCGGAAUUGCCUCUGAUACUGUGCGGCUAGAGAGGAGUUGCGGUAGGCGGAAUGUAUGGUGUAGCGGUGAAAUGCUUAGAGAUCAUACAGAACACCGAUUGCGAAGGCAGCUUACCAAGCUACUUCUGACGUUGAGGCACGAAAGCGUGGGGAGCAAACAGGAUUAGAUACCCUUGUAGUC